rnacentral:rRNA from 1 species
UACAUAGGGUGCAAGCGUUAAUCGGAAUUGCUGGGCGUAAAGGGUGCGCAGGCGGCUUGGAAAGAACGGUGUGAAAUCCCGGGGCUCAACCCCGGAACUGCACUAUUAACUAUCAAGCUAGAGUAUGUCAGAGGGGGGUGGAAUUCCGCGUGUAGCAGUGAAAUGCGUAGAUAUGCGGAGGAACACCAAUGGCGAAGGCAGCCCCCUGGGAUAAUACUGACGCUCAGGCACGAAAGCGUGGGUAGCAAACAGG